AUGAAUGAGAGGCAAAGAGACUUCCAUCUUAAUCAAGCCUUGCUAUUUUGUUUUUCAUUUUCGUAUGCAGCCAAAGCUAAUCCUGCCUGCUUCUACACGAAAGUGACGGAGCUUCCUGACCUGAACUACCAAUUAGGAGAAUGGGUGUCCCAGAGGGAGCCUGAGGCUGUGACCUCCUCCCACCCGCAGCGAAGCAGCACAGAGUCGGAGGAACCCAACACAUUCUUCCUCAAGGUCUCCAAAGGGACAUGUGAAUCUUCGGAAUUGGGCAUGUGUGAACUAUUAAAGUUCUUCUGAAGGCCUGGGAGGUUCGUACCUUUCACGUGCACCGAAGCAGCCCCUUCAGAGCCCUUUCUUCAGGAAGCGGUCACUGCCAAUAGAAAAUGUGACUGGUAGUAGACGGGAUGGUCUUCCUAUUUCCACAGUCCCCAUCUUAGCCCCUGGAUUCUGGAGAGGAGGGAAUUCAAGGUCAUGGGGGCCUCAGUGAG
rnacentral:lncRNA from 1 species